rnacentral:rRNA from 1 species
AGUGAACGCUGGCGGUAGGCCUAACACAUGCAAGUCGAACGGCAGCACAGUAAGAGCUUGCUCUUACGGGUGGCGAGUGGCGGACGGGUGAGGAAUACAUCGGAAUCUACUUUUUCGUGGGGGAUAACGUAGGGAAACUUACGCUAAUACCGCAUACGACCUACGGGUGAAAGCAGGGGAUCUUCGGACCUUGCGCGAUUGAAUGAGCCGAUGUCGGAUUAGCUAGUUGGCUGGGUAAAGGCCCACCAAGGCGACGAUCCGUAGCUGGUCUGAGAGGAUGAUCAGCCACACUGGAACUGAGACACGGGCCAGACUCCUACGGGAGGCAGCAGUGGGGAAUAUUCGACAAUGGGCGCAAGCCUGAUCCAGCCAUGCCGCGUGGGUGAAGAAGGCCUUCGGGUUGUAAAGCCCUUUUGUUGGGAAAGAAAAGCAGCAGAUUAAUACCCCGCUGUUCUGACGGUACCCAAAGAAUAAGCACCGGCUAACUUCGUG